AAGGAGUUGCGUAUUAUUAUCCGCC
rnacentral:sRNA from 1 species